rnacentral:rRNA from 1 species
UACGUAGGGUGCAAGCGUUAAUCGGAAUUACUGGGCGUAAAGCGUGCGCAGGCGGUCUUGCAAGACAGAUGUGAAAUCCCCGGGCUCAACCUGGGAACUGCAUUUGUGACUGCAAGGCUGGAGUGCGGCAGAGGAGGAUGGAAUUCCGCGUGUAGCAGUGAAAUGCGUAGAUAUGCGGAGGAACACCGAUGGCGAAGGCAAUCCCCUGGGCCUGCACUGACGCUCAUGCACGAAAGCGUGGGGAGCAAACAGG